rnacentral:rRNA from 1 species
GACGAACGCUGGCGGCGUGCCUAAUACAUGCCAGUUGAGCGCUGAAGGUUGGUACUUGUACCGACUGGAUGAGCAGCGAACGGGUGAGUAACGCGUGGGGAAUCUGCCUUUGAGCGGGGGACAACAUUUGGAAACGAAUGCUAAUACCGCAUAAAAACUUUAAACACAAGUUUUAAGUUUGAAAGAUGCAAUUGCAUCACUCAAAGAUGAUCCCGCGUUGUAUUAGCUAGUUGGUGAGGUAAAGGCUCACCAAGGCGAUGAUACAUAGCCGACCUGAGAGGGUGAUCGGCCACAUUGGGACUGAGACACGGCCCAAACUCCUACGGGAGGCAGCAGUAGGGAAUCUUCGGCAAUGGACGAAAGUCUGACCGAGCAACGCCGCGUGAGUGAAGAAGGUUUUCGGAUCGUAAAACUCUGUUGGUAGAGAAGAACGUUGGUGAGAGUGGAAAGCUCAUCAAGUGACGGUAACUACCCAGAAAGGGACGGCUAACUACGU